UGACCACAUCACGUUGAAACACCAGAUACCGUAAGAUCACCGAAGUUAACCAACGUCCAGCAUGGUUGUUAAUUAGAUGGGUGACCACUUGUGAAUGGCAGGUGCUGUAAG